GAACCCUGGUAACUUUUUAGACUAAUUGUAUCACCUACAAUUCUACAGUUCUUCCAUUUCAAAGUGUGUAUUAAAGCUGUUUGCCAUGGAUGUAUGUUCAAAGAUUCCUGUUAGGCUUGGUUUCAGUAGCUCCACAGAAUGGCAUGACAGUUGCUGUGAGGUAUCAUUCUUCAGGGACAUUAUUUGAUCUGCCCCAGGAUCUCUUCUGUCAUAGUACAGAGCCCAUAGUAAAGUAAUAGUGAGGAUCAUAGCCAGAAUCUGUGUUACUCCAAUAGAGAUUCCAAGAAAUCUCAGUACUUGCAAUUGCUUCGUCCCCCUCAAAAAAGUGUACAUUUUUUUACCGCAUCCCUCCUGAUAAAGGUCACUGAGAUCCUCAUGAUGUGCCUGCUUAGAGCAUCCUGGGAACUCUCUGACACAACAGGAGUCAGGCGGCCAGUCCAUCUCUGUCAUUUCCAGCCAGUCUGUG
rnacentral:lncRNA from 1 species